ACCGACAAUUUGGAAUGUAGAUUCUAGAAGAAUCGGCAAGAAACUCCGCAGUUACUCUUUUGAAAAUAAAUAUAAACUGUGUUUUAGUACAAAAUUAGAAACAUGUUGCAUGAAAUGCAGCGUCACUAAGUCCACACAUCUUUAUCAACUAUGUAAUCCUGUACCGAGUAAUAAGCUUUAUCUAUUAAUUUUUUUUUAAUAAAAACUUUAAAUUUAUGUUGAGACAAUUCCAAAAUCGUUUGUGGUAUUUUAUUAUACAUGCGAAUACCGUGACCCAGAAAGGAAACGUUUACUUUUCG
rnacentral:misc_RNA from 1 species